rnacentral:rRNA from 1 species
AACGAACGCUGGCGGCAGGCUUAACACAUGCAAGUCGCACGCACCGCAAGGUGAGUGGCGCACGGGUGAGUAACGCGUGGGAAUGUACCGUUUAGUACGGAAUAGCUCCGGGAAACUGGAAUUAAUACCGUAUACUCCCUUCGGGGGAAAGAUUUAUCGCUAAAGGAUCAGCCCGCGUGAGAUUAGGUAGUUGGGGGGGUAAUGGCCUACCAAGCCUACGAUGUCUAGCUGGUCUGAGAGGAUGAUCAGCCACACUGGAACUAAGACGCGGUCCAGACUCCGACGGGAGGCAGCAGUGGGGAAUAUUGGACAAUGGGGGCAACCCUGAUCCAGCCAUGCGGGGUGGAUGAUGAAGGCCUUAGGGUUGUAAAGUUCUUUGACCGAUGAAGAUAAUGACGGUAGUCGGUGAAAAAGCCCCGGCUAACUUCGUGCCAGCCGCCGCCGUAA